rnacentral:rRNA from 1 species
AACGAACGCUGGCGGCGUGCUUAACACAUGCAAGUCGAACGAGAAAGAGUUCUUCGGAACUUGAGUAAAGUGGCGCACGGGUGAGUAACGCGUAGAUAACCUGCCCUGAUGUCUGGGAUAACCCUUCGAAAGGGGGACUAAUACCGGAUAAUCUGGGUAGCCGUAAGGUUACCCAGGAAAGAUGGCCUCUGAUUUAAGCUAUCGCAUUUGGAGGGGUCUGCGUACCAUUAGCUUGUUGGUGGGGUAAUGGCCUACCAAGGCAACGAUGGUUAGCGGGUCUGAGAGGAUGAUCCGUCACACUGGCACUGAAACACGGGCCAGACUCCUACGGGAGGCAGCAGUGAGGAAUAUUGCGCAAUGGGGGAAACCCUGACGCAGCGACGCCGCGUGAGUGAGGAAGGCCUUCGGGUCGUAAAGCUCUGUCAGAAGGGAAGAAGUGUGCAACGGUUAAUACCCGUUGCAUUUGACGGUACCUUCAAAGGAAGCACCGGCUAACUCCGUGCCAGCAGCCGCGGUAAUACGGAGGGUGCAAGCGUUGUUCGGAAUCACUGGGCGUAAAGGGCGCGCAGGCGGUUUGAUUAGUCAGAUGUGAAAGCCCACGGCUUAACCGUGGAAGUGCAUUUGAAACUGUCAGACUUGAGUAUCAGAGGGGAAAGUGGAAUUCCCGGUGUAGAGGUGAAAUUCGUAGAUAUCGGGAGGAAUACCGGUGGCGAAGGCGACUUUCUGGCUGAAUACUGACGCUGAGGCGCGAAAGCGUGGGGAGCAAACAGGAUUAGAUACCCUGGUAGUCCACGCCGUAAACGAUGUCAACUAGGUGUAGGGGGUGUUGAUCCCCUCUGUGCCGCAGCUAACGCAUUAAGUUGACCGCCUGGGGAGUACGGUCGCAAGAUUAAAACUCAAAGGAAUUGACGG